rnacentral:lncRNA from 1 species
GUUGUAAGUUGAAAGUUCAUGAAGAGAUCUUGUUGUAUUAAAUUAUUUUCACAAACUUGCCUUAAUAAAAGGUGAAAAUGUUACUGUUUAGUAUACUUUAUGAAGCCCCUUGAGCUUUAUAAAUGGACAGGCAUGGGGAAUAAGAAUCAGUGUUAAUUUAAAUGAUCUUAUCCUGGUGGAUGUGCUAUUUUCUUAAAGGAGUAUGAAGCCCUUUUCAAACUAUCAUCCCAGUGGAGCGGAGUACUCAGUGAACAGUCACUCCAUAGUGCAAUCCAUAUUAAUAGCCUUCUUAUCUUAAGUCUUCAUCUCUUCUUUUGCUUAAUUACUGAACCAUAAAUUACUUCAGAGAAAUUUAAAUGCUGGUAUUUGAACUUUAUACAUGAUACUUUU